rnacentral:rRNA from 1 species
AUGCGUUUUGAUGGUGACGUGGUUUCCUCUCGGUUCAUGCGAUUAAUACAGCAGUAUAAUUCCAUGUUCUGUUUUACAUCAUUGGGUGCACAAGUUGAUCAUAGUAUUAAUGUUGGAGGUGCUCCAUAUGUUUUCAAGAUGAAUGGGAUGGUCUACCAUCGUAUUGGUUCGUUGCUGCCGGCUGAGGGUGCACCUCCCAAGUUCGCGCAAUUGUACAUGGUCGAUUCUGCUGGCGAGUUGGACUGUAGGUUGAAUGUGUUUGACAGAGAAGAAACUGCUUCGCUUGAGCCCGAUCCUGAGAUUGUUUCUUCAUUGAUAAACAUGCUUAAUGUGCACCACCGUUUGGUGCACAAAUUUAGAAUUGCACGACGGAGUUUGUGUACUCCUGGUGUUUCUGCUAUGUCGAUUCGUUUCUUGGGCAGCGAUGGCGGUGCCCAUGGUACACGUUUUUCCGGCCCUACUGCUUCUGAAGUGGCUGCACUUAUUGUUGGCGAUCUCACUCCUGAAUGUAGAAGAUAUGUUGAUGUUGGUGGUUCUUCGGCUACAGCUUAUGCAGAUGUGCAGUCCGAAGGGUGUAUGGACGGUGAAGAUUUCGAUGAUGAUGUGGACUAUAAUCCAAGGAUGCAGACGCUUCUCAUGGGCAAGUUACCAUGUUGGAGUACUAUAAGUACUAUACUCACUAACGUGAAGGCGAGGUGA